UGGAAUGUUGCAGAGCCCACGGGAUCUCUGGUGUUAGGACAUCAGCAGGAGUUUCUAUUGUUUCACUCAAUAAGACGUACAGGGUGGAUGUCACAUCAUCGUCGUGGCUGGGAUCUCUGAAGAUGGAGGCCCAAAGCUCCAGCGACAUGCUGCUGUCCAGAAAGAGGAGGAGAGAGAGCUCCACCCGGGACACAGAGGAGGGCGAGAGGCUUGUGAAAGUCCCCAGAUGUACUGUGGGAUUGAAGCACCCUGCGCCUUUUGCAGAUGAGCUGGAGCCAGUGACUAAAAAGCCCUACGUGAGGGUCAACAUGGAGGAGGCGAAGAGGGGGACACA